CCUACGGGGGGCAGCAGUAAGGAAUAUUGGGCAAUGGACGAAAGUCUGACCCAGCCAUGCCGCGUGAAGGAUUAAGGUCCUCUGGAUUGUAAACUUCUUUUCUCUGGGGCGAAAACCACCCAUUCUUGGGUAUUUGACAGUACCAGAGGAAUAAGCACCGGCUAACUCCGUGCCAGCAGCCGCGGUAAUACGGAGGGUGCAAGCGUUAUCCGGAUUCACUGGGUUUAAAGGGUGCGUAGGUGGGCUAGUAAGUCAGUGGUGAAAUCCCCGAGCUUAACUUGGGAACUGCCGUUGAUACUAUUAGUCUUGAAUAUCGUGGAGGUAAGCGGAAUAUGUCAUGUAGCGGUGAAAUGCAUAGAUAUGACAUAGAACACCAAUUGCGAAGGCAGCUUGCUACACGGUCAUUGACACUGAGGCACGAAAGCGUGGGGAUCAAACAGGAUUAGAUACCCUAGUAGUC
rnacentral:rRNA from 1 species